AGAGCGCGGCGCGCUGAGGGGUGGUGUGGUGGCCGCGCUCGGGCCGUCAGUGCUGGGCGAGCUGCGGCCCGGCCUGGGGCUGCCCCGUCAGGGGCACCAUCCGCCCCCACCGCCCUUCUCGCACUGUGUGUACCCCUCUACCUCUCCCCAGCCUCUAGUGCUCGAGUUCCCGGGGCUGAGGAUGGCCAGGGAAAAUGCGGCUUAUGAGGGUGUUGGAAGGAGUAGGAGUGGGAAUACACCCCGAGCAGGAGCCGCCGGCAUCAGGAGCAUGUGCAGGGUGCCUGUGUGGGCCGAGCACGGGAGCCUGGUUUCUCAGUACUAAUCCGGCCAGGCUGUCCCCUGAAAUGCACGUGCGCUGACUAAGGCGUCUAUGAUGGCGUUUAAUCAGGCUGAGAUGUGCACUGAGCUACUCUGGGUUGGCUAAUGAGUGUUUGACCUUAAAUGGCUAGUGUGGUGCAGAGCUUCCCCAAAAUUGCUCUGGCACUGGGCACAGUUGCAUUUCUGCUUGUGGAAGGAUUGAAGAACUGAAUGUGCUCAUUUGAAGAUGAUGGGGAUGGGGAGGGGCUUCCAGUAAUAGAAGAAAUAGGUUGUCUUUGUUGCUUUCAAAUUCAGAGGGCUCUAUGGUCCCAUCAGUUGCAUUGCCAGGGUUGUAUCUGGCCACCAGGCUGCAGGAUGAAGGUCCCUCUGGUGCCCUUUGAUGGUGGGUUGUCAGCACUGUAAGUUGGAUUGGAUACCAGGGCAAGCAGAUGCUGCCAGGGUUUGCUAAACUAUCUCCUUGUAGAGCAGUUGCAUCACAUUUCCCUUGCCAUGACUAAAUAUCUCCUCGCUUUUCCCUUUGCACCUGGAUGAGCAUGCCAGGGCUAGGCCUCAGGUGGUAUCAAUUGGUGCAAUGCCACUAGCACAGACACAUCUCUUCCCAGGUGUCCCAGUCAGACUGAUGUGAAAGUAUGAGACCGCAGGAUUAGUUCAUGGUAUGUUUUGGUUCUUGGCAAUGAAGACAAAUUGCCUUUUCCAAAACUGGGUCCAUAUUAACAAUUUUGAAAACUGUAUUUGAAGAAGGGUUGUCAGAAUAAACCUCUCCAGAAAGCCCAGAUAAUGGCUGCACCAGUCCCAGGUUCUUGUAGGUGCUGUGAAAAAGAAUGAGGCAGAGUAAGCACCUCUCUAGUCUGAGGAGUCAAAAUGUAGAGGGAAAAGGGGAAAUGAAGCUGUUGGUGAAGAACUGCAGUAAUCAGGGAAGAAUUUGACAUAGGCAAUUUUCUCAAAUAAAUGGUCUCACCACUACAAAAACACUCUGUGGUUGCAUUGAAGAAACAGUAGGAUGACUUGCAGAGGGUCUUGCUCAGGCGCUGACCUGAGGCUGCGGGUCUGGAUGGUCCAGGGGCAGCUCCCUUGAAGUUGAACGUCUCCUGUGAGCUGCUUGUGAAAACGAUGCCAUCCCCAGCCUUUGCCCGGGGAGCCAUAGGUUGUCUCAAACGGGACCAUUCCUGGCAUCUUUAGCUUAGCAGAGAAUCUGGAUAUGAAUAAUAAACUACUCUUUCUCAUAAAUAUACCCAUAAAUGUGUAAAUGUAUGUGUUAGAAGGGAAGAUGAGAGGGAAGGUUAGCGCAGCAAGCACUGCUGGAGAGGUCUUGCAGACCAUCGUUACCCAUUCCAAGCAUGCCUCAGUCUGUCAAAGCAGCACCUUCCCUGGGCACCUUGGGAAGGGAAAACUUUUAAAGACUAGAGGAGAGAACUUGACAAAGGUGGUCAGCUGUGAAAAAGAAGCAGCACUUCAGUAUCGUAACACACUCCUGUACUGAGAGGGUUACACAAGAAAUACCUGUUUCAGAAAAAGCUGUCUGUAAGCAUUUAUCCUUAACAGCUUGUCAGAACAAGGCUGAAUGCAUAUGCAGAGGCUUUUCUGACCUAGGCAGAGAAAUAAAGGACACAAGCAGUGAAGGUUUAUUCUCUCAGCUACCUAAAAUAUCUAAAUGUGUUAAGCUUUUUGUCUUUGAAUUCAGUAAUUCCCGUAGCUGAAAAACAUUUUGGUGCUGUAUUUCUGACCUUGUUUAGCAUAACUACAAUUUUAAUAUGUAGAAAUGUUAGUGGUCUGAUGUCCAAGCUCCCCUCUAGCUUGGCCUGUGCAAGCUGUGGGUUGCUCAUGCUUUGAUUUAAUGCAAAGCUUGAUGUACAGGCAGCCCAGGAGUCCUCUCUGCUUGAUAGUCACCUCUGCUUGCCACUGAGAAGCUCUCAUUGGAAUAAAUUAAAAUCUUUCUAGUUGUCUGUUUUAUCAUGAACUUUCUGCUGAAAGCAUGCUCUGUACAAACUGCCAGCUUUCCACCCUCAUGGAGGAGGUUGUUCUCAGUUAACGGAGCUCAGCUGCUCUACACCAGCAAAGAGCCCAGGCUGUGCCCAGGCUGCACUGUAGCUGGUGGCCAGAUCUGAUGAGCAGAUGCUGCUCUGCUUCUCUGGCUGGCUUCAGGAGGAAUUGUGUCUGAGGGCAGGAUUUUGGCUGUGAGCCUUGAGGUGAAGAGCUGGGCUACAGAUCUGGCUGCUUGCCUGGGUGGUUUCCAGGCAGACAUUGCAUUUUUAUUGUCUCAGAUACUCUGCUUUGGAGGUCAGUCGAGAAAACAGGAUGGGGUUGUCAUUUGGCAGAAGCAGAAAAGCCAAGACAAAAAAAAGAAUGUGGUGGUACACUGGGCAUAAAACUGUUAGUCCAGCACUGGAGGUGGCAUCUACCUGUGCUAACCCAGAGGUAACAGAGGGCGAUUUCUGCCAAGCUCUUGUUUCCCAGGCUAUACUGACCUUUCUCCUGGCACAUUGCCGCUUUCCCUGCUCUGGCCCACCACGCCACCCAUCACAGAGAGCAACGCAAUCAGAUGUGGAGGAGGAGCUGUAUCUCCCCACUGCUACACAGCUGGGCUCAAGGGCAUAGAGGACUACACAAAAAUUCAGGCAAAGGGAGCAGGCUGGACCUGCAGGGAGUAAGGAUAGGCAUUUUAACCAGAGCACAGAUUUGUCCCAUAACAGGUAAAGAAAAUAACUUGCAUGACGAGAAGACUUCAUUGCUGUGACUUGCUGAAAUGUCAGGAAGAUGCAGGGAAAUGGUAUGGCUGUUUGUGCUAUAGCACCAGUGCUCUUUGACACCUGGAAAGGGGAAGUAGUUAUAUUUUUUACAUUAAGGGGCAAUGAGAGCAGUUAGUCCUAGUGAAAAGAAAGAAAAUAUUUCCCUGUUUCUACUGCUUUUCAAGAGAAAGAGGAACGGUAUCUUCACUGUUUUCUCUGAGAAGCUUGAAUUUAUCACAAUCUGCCAUAGGUCCUCUGGCAACAAUGUUUUCUAUCCUCUCCAAGUAAGGAGUGCAAAAUUACUCCCAGCACUUUGCCGGGUCCCUGCAAGGCACUGGUGUGCACAGAAGCACAAUUUUGGUUGCUCUGAUUGCUUUCCCUUGUGAUAAAUUUGUCCCCACUGCCCCAGAAGCAAUGACAAGGAAUGCUUAGUGGGGACCCACCAGAAAAGGCUGAUUUGCAGGUGACUUUCAGAUGCUGGUUUUGUGUUUGCUUUGGUUUGGGCAGACACAAGAUGUCAUAAAGCAAUCAGGGAGUAUAUCAAUUCAUAAUGUAAACAUUUCACUGAAUACACCUCCUUUGGUACCAGUGAUGUUUCAACAGCUACACUGAAUAACUCUGUACACAGCUCAUGAUGCAAUUGUAAACCCUGUGGCCUUCUGCAUAGUCAACAGAAGUGGUAAAGCACUUUCUCCUGCAGGAACAGAUUGGUCCAGGUGUCCAGGCUACCAGUUUCUUCUACCAUGAUAUUUGCAUUUAGACCGCCAACUGUAUCUCUUCCUCUCUUCCAUCUCAGACUGAGCUAAUACAGCUUUGCUGUGCUGAGAGCCUGUGACAGCGUAGUUCAGAGGUGUUGAUUCUUCAGGCUGUGUCCCUCCUGGAGAGGAAGAGGUUGUGCCUGCAGGUUGGUAGGGUUGAGGUUGCCAUUGGUUGUAAAGCCUUGAAAAGAUCAGAGAGGGGGAAAAGUACUGGUAAAUGCACCAGAGCAUGCAUGGAUUUGCAGUUCAGCCUCUGCAGUAAUGGAUGUAGAAAGCUGCUUCCGGGGAAGCAGAGGGUUUGUGGUGGUGGUUUAUGGCCAGGUGGCUGUCAGAGGCACAGCAGAAGAGCUCAAAGGUGACCCUGCUGUUCAGCGUUGCCACUUCCCAAUACUCCAAUGUGUCUGUGCAUCUUUAUCCGUGUCCAUAUCUGAUGAGAAACAAAAUCCAAACAAGCACAAAGCGGCAAACAGGGAGAGAACUUCCUUUCCUACACUGAAGCACUUCUCUGUAGGCCCCAGAAAUUCCCAGUUCCUCCUCCAGCUGGAUACCUCACUCCUUCCAAACCUCUCAUCUCCUUCAGACCUCGUGUUCCUGGAGAAAGGUCAAUGCUGUUGGCCCAAUGCCUGCACAGCAACAUUUCAGUGAUGUGGAGGGCUGUUCCGUAUUUCAUUGUUCCUUCUGGCAGAUGCAGCCCGAGACACAGGGAACAGAGGUUGUUUCCCUUCCUGUCUCCAUGCUGGGGAGCAGCAUGGCUGUAGCUUGCAGCCAUCAGUGGCACUUGACUCUGCCUGGACGGGGCACACUGAAGCAGGGUGGUGGCAGCUCUGUGCUGGGCAUGAGUGGGUGGAGGUGCCUCCUGGUCUUCAGUGAGUCACAAGCUGUUCCCCAGAUCUUCAGCAACAAAAGGGGACACAAGAGUACGACACAGCAGGUUCCUGUGCCUCCCCUCCUUCUGGAAAACAUGCACCUUCUCUUUCAAAUCAGUGCCCUGUGGACAUUGCAAUGGGCUUAAUUGCAGGGUGGCUAAUGAGCACUCUCCAGGAUUAGAGAUGGGAUGGGUCUAACCCAAAAUCAUAGCUUAGGGCACCCAAAUGUCUCAGUGGACUUUACAAGCUGAUCACUUGCCAGACACAGAAGAUGCUUGAUGGCAAAACACGACAUGCCAUCCUGAAGCAGAAAAGUUAUCCAGCUGAGUUCUCUGGGCUGAGGAAAAAAAAAAAAAAAACAAAAC
ensembl:lncRNA